UUUUAGCCCAGAUAGAAGUGGAAAGCAUUUUGUUAUAAAAACUUAUUUUUCUUGGUGUAAAAAAGCGACCAACGGAAGCUCUUUUUGCGCCGUAGAAAAAUUGUUUUUAUGGCAAAAUCUUGCAACGUAUAGCUGGAUUAGCU
rfam:Flavobacterium aquatile LMG 4008 contig2, whole genome shotgun sequence.